rnacentral:rRNA from 1 species
GUGGGGAAUUUUGGACAAUGGGCGCAAGCCUGAUCCAGCAAUGCCGCGUGCAGGAAGAAGGCCUUCGGGUUGUAAACUGCUUUUGUACGGAACGAAACGGUCCUGGUUAAUACCUGGGGCUAAUGACGGUACCGUAAGAAUAAGCACCGGCUAACUACGUGCCAGCAGCCGCGGUAAUACGUAGGGUGCGAGCGUUAAUCGGAAUUACUGGGCGUAAAGCGUGCGCAGGCGGUGCUGUAAGACAGGCGUGAAAUCCCCGGGCUCAACCUGGGAAUUGCGCUUGUGACUGCAGUGCUGGAGUACGGCAGAGGGGGAUGGAAUUCCGCGUGUAGCAGUGAAAUGCGUAGAUAUGCGGAGGAACACCGAUGGCGAAGGCAGUCCCCUGGGCCUGUACUGACGCUCAUGCACGAAAGCGUGGGGAGCAAACAGGAUUAGAUACCCCUGUAGUCC